CCUAACAAGCUGCAGUUACAGUGUUGCACUUUGAAACAAAGGUCGUUGAACUUGAGCUGCAAAACCAAGGUAUUUUUUUUUGGAGUUGUGGAUAAUGGCAGCGAGAACAGACGUCUAGCAGAGUCCUGGAGUUUAAAGUUGAUCAUCCCCACAGUAUGGAAACAAAAAAUCUACUUAUAGCAAAAGAGCUGAACCUGCUACCUGUUGAUCAGAGAUGCUGGAUCCGGCAGCAGCAGCAGCAGAGCAGUGAAACGCUCAGGGCGUCACUCAGCCCCACUCAUGAUCCUGAUUAAAGGAGGGAGGGCUUAAAGCGCACGCGGAGCCGCGAGAUUGAACAGCUGAUACAAAGGUCUACCGGUUUACCUCCGUUAGAGUCUUGGCCCUGCAGCCCCUCAGCGCUCAGCACGUGCACCUGAGUGACCAGCUGAGGAUAUCCACACAUCCCCGUCCAACACGUCUGAGGAGGCUCGUCCAGGGUCAACUCUCUGUUCCAAA